rnacentral:rRNA from 1 species
UACAGAGGGUGCGAGCGUUGUCCGGAAUCACUGGGCGUAAAGGGCGCGUAGGUGGUGGCUUAAGCGUGCGGUGAAAGCUCGGGGCUCAACCCCGAGUCGGCCGUGCGAACUGGGCUCACUGGAGCAUAGUAGAGGCAGGUGGAAUUCCGGGUGUAGCGGUGGAAUGCGUAGAGAUCCGGAAGAACACCGAGUGGCAGGAGG